UUGCCGAAAGUUGCUAAAGAAAAAGAAAAGAAAAGAUAUUUGAAGCAUUCGGCCAUUACUAAGCUCAAUCAAGAUCAUGAACCAAAGAAAACGGAUUUGGAUCGGGGAAAAACAAAAAUAAUCGAAUAGUCGUCUAUUCCGUCCGUCAAUAUCCGAGAUUUGGAAGUUGGUUAUGAGCUCGGCGAUCGUCAGAGAAGUCUAUCACACUAUCGAGUACUGUUUUCAGUAUUUUACUAAGUUUGAAAUUGAACUUAUGGCAUGUAUAGUCUAGUUAAUAUGUUUGAUUUCGAGUAUGUUAAUAUGAGCCAUGCGAAAAUGGCUUAUUUAUUUUAUUAAGCAUGGUUUUUAUACUUUUGAUCAAGUGUUAGAUAUGUUGAUUUUGGUAUCUCAGCCAUGGAAUAUUUAUUUAUGUGAAUUAUGUUUGAUAUGUUUGAUAUGUAUGAUUUUAUUAUUUGAAUCGAUAUGGUUUGAUUAGGAAAUGACA